GUAUCAACGAAGAGAACAUUCUGACUCAUUUGAAUGUCUUGACUGUGGUGAAGUUUCCUCCUUCAAAAGUGAUACAUGACGAAAACAA